rnacentral:lncRNA from 10 species
UUUUUUAUUGCAUCUACUUGAUUCUUCUCUCUUUUUUUCUUUAUUAGUCUUGCUAGCGGUCUAUCAAUUUUGUUGAUCCUUUCAAAAAACCAGCUCCUGGAUUCAUUAAUUUUUUCAACAGUUUUUUGUGUCUCUAUUUCCUUCAGUUCUGCUCUGAUUUUAGUUAUUUCUUGCCUUCUGCUAGCUUUUGAAUGUGUUUGCUCUUGCUUUUCUAGUUCUUUUAAUUGUGAUGUUAGGGUGUUUUUUCUUUUGUUGAGACAGUCUCACUCUGUCAUCCAGGCUGGAGUGCAGUGGCAUGAUCUUG